UUGCUCACUCCUACAACACACAUACUAAAACCAGAAUAACACAGAGAAGAGUAGCAUGCCCUCCAAACAAAGAUGCAGCAAAUUUGCGAAGUGCUAGGUUAUUUU
rnacentral:snRNA from 1 species